GCCUGGCUGGCUCAGUCAGUAGAGCAUGUGACAUGCAGCUCUUGAUCUCAGAGUCGUGAGUUUGAGCCCCACGCUGGGCG
rnacentral:tRNA from 1 species